rnacentral:rRNA from 1 species
CGCCCCCGGCGGUACGACUCGUAGGUCUGCGGCAUACCUAAAACGUUGCUUCGGCGGGAACAGACGGCCCUGUAACAACGGGCCGCCCCCGCCAGAGGACCCCUAACUCUGUUUUUAUAAUGUUUUUCUGAGUAAACAAGCAAAUAAAUUAAAACUUUCAACAACGGAUCUCUUGGCUCUGGCAUCGAUGAAGAACGCAGCGAAAUGCGAUAAGUAAUGUGAAUUGCAGAAUUCAGUGAAUCAUCGAAUCUUUGAACGCACAUUGCGCCCGCCAGUAUUCUGGCGGGCAUGCCUGUUCGAGCGUCAUUACAACCCUCAGGCCCCGGGCCUGGCGUUGGGGAUCGGCGGAAGCCCCCUGUGGGCACACGCCGUCCCUCAAAUACAGUGGCGGUCCCGCCGCAGCUUCCAUUGCGUAGUAGCUAACACCUCGCAACUGGAGAGCGGCGCGGCCAUGCCGUAAAACACCCAACUUCUGAAUGUUGACCUCGAAUCAGGUAGGAAUACCCGCUGAACUUAAGCAUAUCAAUAAGCGGAGGAA